rnacentral:lncRNA from 1 species
UAUUUAUUAUUAUUCUUUCUCAUUUCUAAUAGUCUAUUUCACUCAAAGCUCAUAUAUCUAUAUCCAGUUUUUCUGUUGUAAUUUUCAGCCAUAUAUCUUCAUAUAAACUGUUAUCUUCAAAAAGAAACCUCAUUCUCAACUCAGAAACGGGGUCACUGAGGUGAAAACCUUGAAAACAACUUGCAGCUCGCUAAGUUAGUUACUUGGAAAACCGUGGAUAGGAUGCACACCUACUAAGUCCAGACAAAGCAGAAGAAAUAGUUUUGCAAUACUUGGCCUAUAUCAUGCAUUCAUAACACUAUCUUUAAAGUACCUUGAUUUGUGGAUAAAUUCUGGCUGCUGUCUCCUCUGAGCUCUUCUGACUUUAAGUAGUAUAAUUUUAUGCUAAGGUUUAGUGACA